GAUGAACGCUGGCGGCGUGCCUAAUACAUGCAAGUCGAGCGAACAGACGAGGAGCUUGCUCCUCUGACGUUAGCGGCGGACGGGUGAGUAACACGUGGAUAACCUACCUAUAAGACUGGGAUAACUUCGGGAAACCGGAGCUAAUACCGGAUAAUAUAUUGAACCGCAUGGUUCAAUAUUGAAAGACGGUUUUGCUGUCACUUAUAGAUGGAUCCGCGCCGCAUUAGCUAGUUGGUAAGGUAACGGCUUACCAAGGCAACGAUGCGUAGCCGACCUGAGAGGGUGAUCGGCCACACUGGAACUGAGACACGGUCCAGACUCCUAGGGGAGGCAGCAGUAGGGAAUCUUCCGAAAUGGGGGAAAGCCUGACGGAGCAACGCCGCGUGAGUGAUGAAGGUCUUCGGAUCGUAAGACUCUGUUAUUAGGGAAGAACAAAUGUGUAAGUAACUAUGCACGUCUUGACGGUACCUAAUCAGAAAGCCACGGCUAACUACGUG
rnacentral:rRNA from 1 species